AUUGAACGCUGGCGGCAGGCCUAACACAUGCAAGUCGAACGAGUGGCGGACGGGUGAGUAAUGUCUGGGAAACUGCCUGAUGGAGGGGGAUCACUACUGGAAAGUGUCGCUAAUCCCGCAUACCAGCGAGUGUGCCCAGAGGGGAUGAGCUAGUGGGUGGGGUAAAGGCUCACCUAGGCGACGAUCCCUAGCUGGUCUGAGAGGAUGACCAGCCACACUGGAACUGAGACACGGGCCAGACUCCUACGGGAGGCAGCAGUGGGGAAUAUUGCACAAUGGGCGCAAGCCUGAUGCAGCCAUGCCGCGUGUAUGAAGAAGGCCUUCGGGUUGUAAAGUACUUUCAGCGGGGAGGCGUUACCCGCAGAAGAAGCACCGGCUAACUCCGUGCCAGCAGCCGCGGUAAUAC
rnacentral:rRNA from 1 species